rnacentral:rRNA from 1 species
ACCUGGUUGACCAGUAGCAUAUGUUUGUCUCCAUGUUAAGCCGCGCAUGUCUCCUGGUACAGUGUAACUGCGAAAUGGCUCAUUAAAUCAUUUGGUUUCUUUGGUCGCUCGCUCCUCUCCUACUUGGGUAACUUGUAAUUGUAGAGCUAAUACAUGCCGAACGGGCGCUGGAACCCCUCGCGGGGGGCAUGAGUGCAUUUAACAUCAAAAUCAACUCGUUCAGCUUCCUCCCGCGGCCGGGGGCGGGCGCCAGCGGCUUUGUUGACUAUAUAACCUCGGGCCGAUCGCACGUCCCCGUGGCGGCCACGACCCAUUUCAACGUCUGCCCUAUCAUCUUUCGAUGGUGGUCUUGGUCGCCCUGACCAUGUGUGACGGGGAAUCAGGGUUCGAUUCCUUAGAGGGAGCCUGAGAAACACAUCACAUCUAAGGAAGGCAGCAGGCGCGCAAAUUACCUACUCCAGAACCGUGGAGGUAGUGACGGAAAAUAAUACAGGACUCUUUCAAGGCCCUGUAAUUGGAAUGAGUCCACUUUAAAUCCUUUAACGAGGAUCCAUUAGAGGGCAAGUCUGGUGCCAGCAGCCGCGGUAAUUCCAGCUCCAAUAGCGUACAUUAAAGUUGCUUCAGUUAAAAAAGCUCGCAGUUGGAUCUUGAGAGCGGGCGAGCGAGCGGCCUCACGGCGCCCCUGAUGCUCUUAGCUGAGUGUCCCCGUGGGGCCCGAAGCGUUUACUUUGAAAAAAUUAAUGUUCAAAGCAGGCCACGAGCCGCCUGGAUACCGCAGCUAGGAAAUAAUGGAAUAGGACCGCGAUUCUAUUAUGUUGCUUUUUGGGACUGAGGCAAUGAUUAAGAGGGACGGCCGGGGGCAUUCGUAUUGCGCCGCUAGAGGUGAAAUUCAUGGAAGGGCGCAAGACGGACCANCGCCUGGAUACCGCAGCUAGGAAAUAAUGGAAUAGGACCGCGAUUCUAUUAUGUUGCUUUUUGGGACUGAGGCAAUGAUUAAGAGGGACGGCCGGGGGCAUUCGUAUUGCGCGCUGGAGGUGAAAUUCUUGGCACGGCGCAAGACGUACCAGAGCGAAAGCAUUUGCCAUGAAAGUCGGUGGUUCGAAGACGAUCAUAUACCGAUCAGAUACCGUCGUAGUUCCGACCAUAAACGUUGCUGACUCGCGAUGUGGCGGCGUUAUUCCCAUGACCCGCCGGGCAGCUUCCGUGAAACCAAAGUCUUUGGGUUGGGGGGGGGAGUAUGGUUGCAAAGCUGAAACUUAAAGGAAUUGAUGGAAGGGCAGCACCAGGAGUGGGGCCUGCGGCUUAAUCACGGGAAACCUCAACCUGCUCCGACACGGACAGGAUUGACAGAUUGAUAGCUCUUUCUCGAUUCUGUGGGUGGUGGUGCAUGUCUGUUCUUAGUUGAUGGAGCGAUUUGUCUGGUUAAUUCCGAUAACGAACGAGACUCUGGCAUGCUAUCUAGUUAGGCGACCCCCGAGCGGUCGUCGUCCACCAACUUGUUAGAGGGACAAGUGCCGUUUAGCCACCCGAGAUUGAGCCUUAACAGGUCUGGGCAGGUCUGGGAUGCCCUUAGAUGUCCGGGGCUGCACGCGCGCUACACAGUCUCAGCGUGUGCCUACCCUACGCUCUGAACCCCAUUCGUGAUGGGGAUCGUGGAUUGCAAUUAUUCCCCACGAACGAGGAAUUCCAAGUAAGUGCGGGUCAUAAGCUUGCGUUAAGUCCCUGCCCUUUGUACACACCGCCCACCGCUACUACCUAUUGGAUGGAUGUUUUUGUGAGGCCCUCGGAUUGGCACCGCUUAGGCGGAGCGCUGAGAGGACGCACGAACUUGACUAGAGGAAGUAAUUUUUACUUUUACAAGGUUUCCGGAGGUGAACCUGCUGAAG